rnacentral:rRNA from 1 species
GACGAACCGUGCGAACGUUGUUCGGAUUCACUGGGCUUAAAGGGCGCGUAGGCGGGCGACCCGGUCGGUGGUGAAAUCUUUCGGCUCAACCGGAAGAGGGCCUCCGAUACCGGUCGCCUCGAGGGAGGUAGGGGCAUGCGGAACUUCCGGUGGAGCGGUGAAAUGCGUAGAUAUCGGAAGGAACGCCGGUGGCGAAAGCGGCGAUGCUGGACCUCUUCUGACGCUGAGGCGCGAAAAGCCAGGGG